AGCGGGCUUCGUAGGGGAGCUAUCACUAUAACUAAAAUUCGGAUAUGCAAAUCAACCCCGAACAAAAGAUCCACACCGCCCGGCGAUUCAAACGGUUUUCAGCCAAAACCGCUCGGCCGAUUUUCAAAAUUCUUUUUUUCCCUGAAUCCUCGAUCCCCGAUGCUCCAUCAUAAGGUCUGCUUUUUCUCAUUUUAGCUUCCGUUCCUGAGAUAUUUACACGGUUUUCUCCGAGGAUGCAAGAUCUCGAUUAGUGCUCUCCGCGGUCUUUGUCCCGCAUUUCUAAAGGUUCUUUCUCUCUCUUUUCUCUUGCUCUCUACAAAAGAUUUCAAAACCUCUUCCUCCAGCAGCCCUUCAAUUUGAACGGAGGCUCUUCAAAUUCGUUUCGCUUUCCACAAAGGAUCCAUUGGAUUUUUUGUAGUUAGAGGAGAGGAUAGCUAAUAAAUCUACGUGCGCUGCUGCUUGACAUUCCUUUUAGAACUCGAAGCGGUCCUAGACGGUCCUGUCGUGUGCUACAUCUACAGUCAAUAGUGGGUGCUCUCGAUCUCAGUAGCUACGUACGUACGUACGGUACACACGCUGCUGCCUGAUAUUUGGUUUUGCGAUGGCUGCUGGCUGUUCCCCUUCUUCACUGGCAUCAGAAUCGAUGGCAUGCGAAUACAAAUGAACGAUGGAAUUCGCUGACGUCUUGGUACAACAAAGCAAAGACCGUUUCAAGCAAUAAUUAUUACGCCGACGUGAUUCUCAGACAUUGGAACCGAAAUUUAUGGCAUUUAUGCUGGUGUUAAGUCGCACAAUGAAACAAGAAAAAACUUGACACUGGAUAAAAGGACUAAAUCUAUAAAGAACAACUGUUGUCUGUAAAUUGUAUAUUGCUGAUAUAUUAUCGGUGUAAGAUUCCUUUCUAAUGCACGAAAAUUUUGCUGUUUUCUAUCUUUCAACUUCUUGAGUGCUUUGUUGCUGCACGUGGACCUCAAAUGAAUAAACCUGCGUAAUAACUUUAUGAUUCUUUGGAGUUUAGGUCAGAAAUCGUUAAUUUGCUUAUGAACCAACAUACUUUUUAGGAAUGUUGAUUCUUAAGAAACGGCUAACAGGAAUUUAUUGUUGGAAAACUUUAAUGUUUGAUUCAGAAUAAACGGGGGGACUUUUGAGGGUGGCCUGCAAUUAUAUCUUAAAACAGCAUCACAAUUGAACAAGAAUUGAACGAAAUGCUAUGAUAGAGAUAUUCACGCUAGAUUCAAAAUGAACAUUACAGCUUUAAG